GUUGUUGACAGCAUGCGUUUUUAGCUUCGUAUAACAUGUUUAGUAGCUCGCUUCGUCGAUUUGUAUUGUUCUUAAAUGAAAUCUGAAUUGGAAAUUAGACUGCUAGUUUUAUUAUACAUGUUGGACUUGAAAUUGACUUAGGAGAAAAUUAUAGGUUCUACACUGUCAUUUUCUGAAACUAAUAGAUUUAGCUAUAGGAGCUGUAGUUAGUUGGUGUCGCCGCAGUUUAUACGCGGUGGAUAUACAGAAUUGUGUAGAAUGAAAUUACGCUCGUGCUGGGGUGCCGAGUUUAUUUUUACAGUAGUAUAUAGACUGUUCCGGACUGUCGGGUGCCGUCGCGGUUGGCGGUGUACCCAGAUUUCUGUAUUUUGCAUCAGAUUGUGCCGAGCGCACGUGAGUUAUGAUUGUUAGACAAGUUAGACCAUUCUGCUUUGACUAUAGCCUGUGAGAGCCUAAUUGAG
rnacentral:lncRNA from 1 species